CACCGAAAUUCACGGUUCCCACCGUAACCACGAAAUACCGGAAAAAAUUCGGACGAAAUUCAAAAUCAAAUUUUGAAUUCAAAUAUUUCAAAGUUGAUAUAGAUAAACUUUUAACUCUAUGAUAUCACAGUCUUUCUCCUAGCGUAGUGGCUGAACACACGCACCCACCGAUGCCGCUUGGUCAGAGAUUUCGAGUUUGACUCCUGCGGCUCCAGAAAUUUUCAACUCUGUUAGUUUUUUACUUUCGCAUUCUAAAAAAGAAAGAAAAAGUAUGGAAGGUAAGACUCGAACCCGCGACCUGCAGCUCCACAAAGCAAGCCUUUG
rnacentral:rRNA from 1 species